rnacentral:rRNA from 1 species
AUUGAACGCUGGCGGCAGGCCUAACACAUGCAAGUCGAACGAGUGGCGGACGGGUGAGUAAUGUCUGGGAAACUGCCUGAUGGAGGGGGAUCACUACUGGAAACGGUAGCUAAUACAGCAUACCAUAACAUGUGCACAGAUGGGAUUAGCUUGUUGGUGGGGUAACGGCUCACCAAGGCGACGAUCCCUAGCUGGUCUGAGAGGAGGACCAGCCACACUGGAACUGAGACACGGUCCAGACUCCGACGUGAGGCAGCAGUGGGGAAGAUUGCACAAUGGGCGCAAGCCUGAUGCAGCCAGGCCGCGUGUAUGAAGAAGGCCUUCGGGUUGUAAAGUACUUUCAGCGGGAAGGCGUGACCCGCAGAAGAAGCACAGGCUAACUCCGUGCCAGCCGCCGCGGUAAUUC